rnacentral:lncRNA from 1 species
GUACAGACUUGGGCCACAGUGGGGGAGGUGACAGCAGACGGUUUGGUGGGAAGGAACGCACCAGAGCCCCAUGGGCCUGCCUGGCCAGCUCGCUUGGUCAUCCUGGUAAAACAGCAGAGCUCUCUGUUCCAAGAGGCCCACGCGCAGCCCCACAUGCCUGCUGAUCUGUGUACACACGUGUGUGCACUCUAGCAAGCCUCACUUUAAUUGUGAAGAAACAUGGGAACCGGUGCUCCCACCCGGGCUGUGGGAGUGUGGUGCGGUGGGGCCUGGACACGGGGAGGGUCCGAAGUGGGGCCAGCUCCCUGGAGUCAGGCAUGUCUGUCUCAAGCUGCCCCUGUCCCUUGCUGAAUGGGAACCCCCACCAGCUGCCUCGGGAGCCCGUGUCCUUACACUCUAUUCGGAUCUGCUCCAGCUCCGUCACCUCAGCAAUGGACUCCUUCAGGUCCUCCACGAACUUCUGCAUCUCGUCCGAGCCCAGGGCACAGAAAUGCAGCACCUGCUUCUUCUCGGAGCCCGAGAGCGGGGUCACCAGUGUGAUGCCAUGAGAGUAAUCUGGAAAGCAGACCCCAGGCCCCCAGUGGGCUGUGAGCAGCAGCAGCCGAGGGCCAGAGCCAGCCAGACAUGAGGAGGGCACGGGGUCUCAUGCCUCCACCCACUCUGCUGUCCAGCCCUUCUCCCUCAACUCGCCCCAGCCAUUUCAUCCAUUCAUUCCUUCUCAAAGACUUACACUGGCUGUCAAAGACUUACACUCGUUCUCAAAGAGCUGGAACUGCAUGCCCAGCAGGCCAACUGACUUGCAAAAGGUGUACGUGGAGGAGCUCUUCUUCUUCGGGCAAAGUUUGAGAAUCUGUUCAGGAGAGGGAAACAGGCAUGCCCUGAUGAACAGACACUCACGGACACAUGGAUGCACAAACACCCGGGGGAUGCACGAUCACACAAACCCACGCAGUGAUGAAUGUGCACAUACAGCAGCUUCUGUGAGCUGAGCCCUGGAGAUACAGGAGAACUCA